rnacentral:tRNA from 1 species
GGUGAUGUAGCUCAGUGGGGAGAGUGCUUGCCUGGAAUGCAGGAAGAUAGGGUUUGAACCCCAGCCCUG